GGGCGGUUAGCUCAGUUGGAAGAGCGCUUCUCUCACGCAGAAGAUGUCAGAGGUUCAAGUCCUCUACCGCCCACCA
rnacentral:tRNA from 1 species